CCUACCACCCCAGCUCCAAUGGGCUGGCAGAGCGUUUAAUUCAGACCUUAAAGAACGCCCUCCGCAAAGACGGCACAGGAGAGACACUGCAGGUCCUGUCUCUUUCCAAGUGCGUGCAACCACACAGAGGGGCACCUUCACCUGGCGUCGCCACCAGGAUCAGCUGCUGCACAGACCUGCAGAGGA
rnacentral:lncRNA from 1 species